rnacentral:tRNA from 1 species
AAAGAUUUAGUUAAACCUAUAACAUAAAUUUGUCAAAUUUAAAUUAUUAAAAAAUAAUAUUCUUUU